rnacentral:rRNA from 1 species
CGAGCAGGCGGUUUUAUAAGUCGGAUGUGAAAUCCUACGGCUCAACCGUAGAACUGCAUUCGAUACUGUGGAACUUGAGUACUGGAGAGGAAAGCGGAACUCAUGGUGUAGCGGUAAAAUGCGUAGAUAUCGUGAGGAACACCGGUGGCGAAGGCGGCUUUCUGGCCAGAUACUGACGCUGAUCCGCGAAAGCCAGGGGAGCGAACG